rnacentral:lncRNA from 1 species
UUCCCACUGAGAGGCUUGCACAGAGUCAUGUCUAAACAGGCAGAGUAAAGGGGUAGAAUCAUCCUCGUGGCCAGUCUCUGCUCCUCAAACCCCUGUUGUUCAGCCUAUUUCUUUUUUUCUGAGAUAGGGUCUCUCCUGGAACUUCAUAUGUAAACCAGGCUAGCCUCGAACUCACAGAUCCACCUGCCUCUGCCUCCUGACAUGCCUGGUUCAACAAUUUUUGAAAGGAACUAAUUAUAAUGAAACUGGUUUUAAUGAAUGGACUGGAAAGACCUGCCAUUAUUCCAGGUUGGCCUGUGAGGAGCAGAGAGUGUUAGCAAGGUGUGCAAAGGAGGCUCUGUUCUCUCUGGUAAUAGGUGUUCUGGAGUGUUCCAGUAGGUUGGCUACUUGUCUUAGUUUCUAUUGCUGUGAUAAAGCAUGAGCAAAAGCAACUUGGGAAGGAGGGAUUAUUUCAGCUUACUGUUUCACAUCGCAGUCCUCUGAAGGAAGUCAGGACUAGAGCUGAUGCAGAGGCCAUGGAGGACUGCUUACUGUUUGCUCUUCAUAUCUUGCUCAGCCUAACUUCUUGUAGUGCCCAGGAUUGCCAGCCCAGGGGUAGCAUUGCCCAAAGUGAGCUAGGCUCUCCCAAAUCAAUACUUAUGAAAAAUCAGGACAGAGUAGUAGGGCCAUUUUCAUAAUUGUCCUCUCAAAAUGACUUGUUUGUAUUAAGUUCACAUAAAACUAGCCAGCAAAGUACUAUAUAUCCCUAUGUUGGUAAAUUUCAAGCACACGUUCAAGCACAGAGACCCUUGGAGCCAGUAGUAAGCUGCUGCCCCUGUCCCAAUUGUGGGUUGGAAUAGAUAGUGUGAUAGACAGCCAAAAUGAGGCUUCAUUCACUGCUGAGCUGUGGUUCUCAGGAUAACUGUUCUUUGGGGGAUUCACAUGUCUGAGGGCUGUUUUUCAUUUGGCAUCUUGAUCACUGCAGAAGUGAAUUCACCAUGGCUGGAAUCUUACCUAUCUCAGGGUAUGGCCUCUCUUGUUCAAGCUUUCUACCUGACUGCUGACCUCGGCAGCUCUCUGGCCUGGUUGGUCUGCAGGUGCCUGUUAAACCUUUCCCUAUUGCAGCAUAUCUAUCACAGUCUUGAUUUUCUGUGAGUUAAACGCUGUCUGGCUCAGCACAGCCCUUUGGUAGCCUUAGACUUGUAAGUUCAGCUUCUAUGGCUGUUUUUGCAUUUAUGCUACACAGUGGCUUAGAAGGGAAGACAGCUGAAACUCAAGAUGGCACCAUUCCUUGAGUGUUUAAGCUUGGAGUGUUGCUAUGAUAGACCUGCAUCAAGAAACUUCCUCCUUUCAGUUCUGAAGGUUAUGGCUUUUUAGUUGGGAUCCCUACUCAGACCCCAUGUUGAACAUCAAUCUGAUCAUUGGGAAGGGGAGAGAUAUGUAUAUAUUGUAAAGUAUUGCUACAGGCAGCAGCUGACUCAUGCCUUCAAUGUCUCCACUUGGAUAAACUACUUUUAAGAGGC